GUUGGCAACGGGCAGGCAAUUAUUUCAGUCCGAACGUGACGAAGAUCACCUCCCGCGCUGCAUUGAGAUUCUGGGAAUGCCUCCAAGAUACAUGGUGAACGCAGCUCCCGACAGAAGGCAGUUCUUUGACCAUCGAGGGAAGAUGUUCUGCCCAGGCAAGAAAAGGGUACCGGGGAGCUUCCCACUUGACAGGGUGCUCAAAAGCCACGACCCGGCG